GGGGAUCCAGUGCCAGUCGCUUAAAAAUGCCCCUGUGGUAGUAAGGGGUGCCAGAGGCCGGGUCAAGUUAGUUGAGAAGCAGUGACACCCCCCACCAGUCCCCAAACAGGCUGACCCCAUCUCUAGGCCCCAAGGAGCCACACCUGGACCAGACUGCGGGACAGGCAAGGGCACUGGCUGGUGGAAGCCACCUACCACCCUGGCACUGGAUAACCAACAACCCUGGAGAGAGAGCCUCCUAGAGACCAGAAGAGGGAGGCGGCAGGCAGCCCUGRCAGCAGAACUCCUCCCCUUCACCCACCCUUCCCCAGAGCCUUCCAACAGCCUGCCGACCCAGUUUCCCCCAACCCAGAGACGUUUCCUGGAGACAUCCAGAAAGGGAGGGGAAAACAGUGCCUUCUCCUGGGAGCAGACCCCCAAGUCACCCACAGCCAGCACUGAAAGCCACCAGGUAAAACUCUUGACACCGCCUGGCUCAGUCACCUCCUUCAACAGAAGGGGAAAGAGCGCCACAGAGAGGAGAGGGGCCUGGCGUGAAGUCACUUGCCAACUGGCGACAGAACCAAGACUCCCAAACGGCUUCCCCCAUCUCCCCUGGGAUCCAGUGUGAAGGAGCCUUUCAUGGGGUAAGUGAAAUAGGGGCCAGAGAGCCCCUUCUCAGUGAGGCCCUCGCUUGAAGGAAACAGGGGAUGGGACAAGUGCUGCCUGCCAGCCCAGAAGUGGGCAAGACUCAAACGAAGUGUUCCCGGGGCCAGAGAGCCAGGAGGAAGGGCACCCUGCCUGGACCUCUGCCCCUYCCCACAGCUCAGCAGUACCACCUCCUCCUCCAGGAAGCCUGCCCAGCUCCCCCAGGGAUUGGAACCUCUC